UACGUAGGGUGCAAGCGUUGUCCGGAAUUAUUGGGCGUAAAGAGCUCGUAGGCGGUUUGUCGCGUCUGCUGUGAAAACUCGGGGCUUAACUCCGGGCCUGCAGUGGGUACGGGCAGACUAGAGUGCGGUAGGGGAGACUGGAAUUCCUGGUGUAGCGGUGAAAUGCGCAGAUAUCAGGAGGAACACCGGUGGCGAAGGCGGGUCUCUGGACAGUUCCUAACGCUGAGGCACGAAGGCCAGGGGAGCAAACGGG
rnacentral:rRNA from 1 species